GAUGAACGCUGGCGGCGUGCUUAACACAUGCAGGUCGAACGAUGAAGCCCAGCUUGCUGGGUGGAUUAGUGGCGAACGGGUGAGUAACACGUGAGUAACCUGCCCUUGACUCUGGGAUAAGCCUGGGAAACUGGGUCUAAUACUGGAUAUGACUUCUCAUCGCAUGGUGGGGGGUGGAAAGAUUUAUUGGUCUUGGAUGGACUCGCGGCCUAUCAGCUUGUUGGUGAGGUAAUGGCUCACCAAGGCGACGACGGGUAGCCGGCCUGAGAGGGUGACCGGCCACACUGGGACUGAGACACGGCCCAGACUCCUACGGGAGGCAGCAGUGGGGAAUAUUGCACAAUGGGCGCAAGCCUGAUGCAGCGACGCCGCGUGAGGGAUGACGGCCUUCGGGUUGUAAACCUCUUUCAGUAGGGAAGAAGCGAGAGUGACGGUACCUGCAGAAGAAGCGCCGGCUAACUACGUG
rnacentral:rRNA from 1 species